rnacentral:rRNA from 1 species
UACGUAGGGUGCAAGCGUUGUCCGGAAUUAUUGGGCGUAAAGAGCUCGUAGGCGGUCUGUCGCGUCUGCUGUGAAAACUCGGGGCUUAACCCCGGGCCUGCAGUGGGUACGGGCAGACUAGAGUGCGGUAGGGGAGACUGGAAUUCCUGGUGUAGCGGUGAAAUGCGCAGAUAUCUGGAGGAACACCGGUGGCGAAGGCGGCUUCCUGGACCGACACUGACGCUGAGGCGCGAAAGCCAGGGGAGCAAACGGG